UACGUAGGGGGCAAGCGUUGUCCGGAAUCAUUGGGCGUAAAGAGCGUGUAGGCGGCUCGGUAAGUCCGGUGUGAAAGCCACAGGCUCAACCUGUGAAUGCCGCUGGAAACUGUCUGGCUAGAGUCCGGGAGGGGCGAGUGGAAUUCCUGGUGUAGCGGUGAAAUGCGCAGAUAUCAGGAGGAACACCAAUGGCGAAGGCAGCUCGCUGGAACGGAACUGACGCUGAGGCGCGAAAGCGUGGGGAGCGAACAGG
rnacentral:rRNA from 1 species